GAUGAACGCUGGCGGCGUGCCUAAUACAUGCAAGUCGAGCGAACAGACGAGGAGCUUGCUCCUCUGACGUUAGCGGCGGACGGGUGAGUAACACGUGGAUAACCUACCUAUAAUACGGGGAUAACUUCGGGAAACCGGAGCUAAUACUGGAUAAUAUAUUGAACCGCAUGGUUCAAUAGUGAAAGACGGUUUUGCUGUCACAUAUAGAUGGAUCCGCGCCGGAUUAGCUAGUUGGUAAGGUAACGGCUUACCAAGGCAACGAUGCGUAGCCGACCUGAGAGGGUGAUCGGCCACACUGGAACUGAGACACGGUCCAGACUCCUACGGGAGGCAGCAGUAGGGAAUCUUCCGCAAUGGGCGAAAGCCUGACGGAGCAACGCCGCGUGAGUGAUGAAGGUCUUCGGAUCGUAAAACUCUGUUAUUAGGGAAGAACAAAUGUGUAAGUAACUAUGCACGUCUUGACGGUACCUAAUCAGAAAGCCACGGCUAACUACGUG
rnacentral:rRNA from 1 species